rnacentral:pre_miRNA from 2 species
GUUUGCCUGUGUGUGGAUGGUGUUCAGCACCAAGGACAGGUGUGUUGGCCUGUGUGUGGAUGGUGUUCAGCACCAAGGACAGGCAUGUUUGCCU